rnacentral:rRNA from 1 species
GAUGAACGCUAGCUACAGGCUUAACACAUGCAAGUCGAGGGGCAGCAUGAACAUAGCUUGCUAUGUUUGAUGGCGACCGGCGCACGGGUGCGUAACACGUAUCCAAUCUGCCCGUCACUCGGGGAUAGCCUUCUGAAAGGAAGAUUAAUACCCGAUGGCAUGCAUUUCCGGCAUCGGAGAUGCAUUAAAGAUUUUAUCGGUGACGGAUGAGGAUGCGUACGAUUAGCUUGUUGGCGGGUAACGGCCCACCAAGGCAACGAUCGUUAGGGGUUCUGAGAGGAAGGUCCCCCCANACUGGAACUGAGACACGGUCCAGACUCCUACGGGAGCAGCAGUGAGGAAUAUUGGUCAAUGGGCGGAGCCUGAACCAGCCAAGUAGCGUGAAGGAUGACUGCCCUA